GUUGGGCUAGUAACCAGCAGGUAGCCUAGUGGUUAGAGUGUUGGACUAGUAACCAGCAGGUAGCCUAGUGGUUAGAGUGUUGGACUAGUAACCAGCAGGUAGCCUAGUGGUUAGAGCGUUGGACUAGUAACCAGCAGGUAGCCUAGUGGUUAGAGCGUUGGACUAGUAACCAGCAGGUAGCCUAGUGGUUAGAGCGUUGGGCCAGUAACCAGCAGGUAGCCUAGUGGUUAGAGUGUUGGGCCAGUAACCAGCAGGUAGCCUAGUGGUUAGAGUGUUGGGCCAGUAACCAGCAGGUAGCCUAGUGGUUAGAGUGUUGGGCCAGUAACCAGCAGGUAGCCUAGUGGUUAGAGCGUUGGACCAGUAACCAGCAGGUAGCCUAGUGGUUAGAGUGUUGGGCCAGUAACCAGCAGGUAGCCUAGUGGUUAGAGUGUUGGGCCAGUAACCAGCAGGUAGCCUAGUGGUUAGAGUGUUGGGCCAGUAACCAGCAGGUAGCCUAGUGGUUAGAGUGUUGGGUCAGUAACCAGCAGGUAGCCUAGUGGUUAGAGUGUUGGGCCAGUAACCAGCAGGUAGCCUAGUGGUUACAGUGUUGGGCCAGUAACCAGCAUGUAGCCUAGUGGUUAGAGUGUUGGGCCAGUAACCAGCAGGUAGUCUAGUGGUUAGAGUGUUAGGGAGGGUAACCACCAGGUAGCCUAGUGAAUAGAGUGUUGGACUAGUAACCAGCAGGUAGCCUAGUGGUUAGAGCGUUGGACUAGUAACCAGCAGGUAGCCUAGUGGUUAGAGCGUUGGGCCAGUAACCAGCAGGUAGCCUAGUGGUUGGGCCAGUAACCAGCAGGUAGCCUAGUGGUUAGAGUGUUGGACUAGAAACCAGCAGGUAGCCUAGUGGUUAGAGUGUUGGGCUAGUAACCAG